AAAGCAGAGUCCUCCGUAUGAUUUCGCGAAUCGCUCUCGCGGUUCUUUGACGUCAUCCGGGUGUCGAUUCUUGCGGCGCCGCAUGAAGUUAAACAAGCCUGACAGCUUCUUUUACUGCUUACUCAACCUGCUUGCAAAUACGUUUCCCCGCGUACUCAUGUAAUGUAAAAUGGUCAAAAUAUCUAAAACAUAAUUUGGCUUAGUUGUUGCUUGUUUUGUGUAACUACGGUAAACAUACUACGUAAAAAGUCAUUAUCAUGUUAUUAUGAUGAACACGAGCAAAGCAAGCUAACGUUAGCUCAUCUUGUGCAGCUGUCAAUCAAAGAACGAUAUAAUCUACUGUCAAUCAUCUCGCCUCAAGACCCGCCCCCAUUCAGAACGUUCAUAAUUAUGUAAUUAUGCAGUGCAUUUUUCUUUCAGUGAUUUGAUGACGUAUUAAAUCACCGUUACUGUAGCAGUUAAAAGUUUAAAUUUUAUAUGAAGUUAGUACAUUUUAUGGCACCACAAUCAACUACAUAUAUGUGAUGAAAUAUAGUGUGGAAGCAUAUUGUUUUAGGCUGGGGUUCUGCUUUAAUGGACAUCUGCCAGCAAAUCAGAAAAUAGUAUUUAUAACUGAUAUUUGAUAUAUAUGUAGAGAAAUAUUGAGAGAUCAUUUAUCUAGCUAUUUAUCUAACCUCCACCCCCUAGACUGGAUCGUCAUUUGGCCGGAAAAUAAUGACUGGAUAUCUAUCUGCAAAAGGGGUUAAAGCAUCUGAGGGCAGAGUGGGUAAAGUGUUGAGAGGGAUUCAUCAACCCUACCACACUGCAAGACUACAGGGUGCCCGAAAUCUGAACCCCAUACCCUACAGUGCAGAAUACAUGGGUCACAAGCUGCAUGUAGAUCAAAAUGAGAAGCUUGUUAUGUUUGGAGUGACCCAUGUAAUGGCUAUUGACGGUUUCAGCAAGAAGGUGGUCGGUCACUCCACCAUGCCAGUAAAGAAUAAUAUAAUCAUUUAUGAGGAAGUUUACAGGUAAAAUAACUUUACUAGUACUAAUAAUUAAAUUUUUAGGACAGAGUUGUGACUUGACAGUAGAUUAUUAAAAAUGUGGUUCUAACCUAGAUUUGUAAUGUAAUAAUUUGGCAAAUACUUUGAAACCUUUCUGUUGUAAAAUAUGUUUUUUAAUUGUGACUGGGGUUUAUUAAGGUGCACUCACCUUUAACCUAAAAGGGCCGAACCAUUCCGGAGCCGCUCACUCCCCCAGAAGCAUGCACUCACACUUUUUUUGAUCAAAGCUCAAACAUGUUGUAACAUUAAAGGUAUUGCGGAGGAUUUUCUUUUUCCGGGUGGAUCAUCAAGACUAUUGGUCCUCCUAGUUGUCAAUCAGGAGUGUUGCGCAAUUGCAUUUUUUUAAAAAGUGGAGAAGGCGGUUCUUUUCUAAAAUUUUAGAAAAUCCUCCGCUACACCUUUAAGUCUGUGUGUUUUAUUCUGAGUCAGACCUGCUGUGCUUUCCUAUGGACUAUGGGACCAGGUCAGAGUUGACUGUGGACAAGAGUUUUAUCUGACAUUAUUCAUCCAAGAAAAGCUGGCGCAACACAGACACAAUACUCAAAGGCAGCCAUACAUUCAGACACCUUCUACAAGGAACCAUGUGAUAGAGAGAAUGUGGUCAGAGGUCAAUGCCAGAGUCAACUACCCUUUGAAGUCAGCUUUGGUACAUCUGGUGAACCAGGAGGAACUGGACAUGGAGGACAACACAUCCAAAUAUUGUGUAUCAAACCUGACAUG